AAUAAGUGUAGUUUUACACUGUUCAUGUCCAACGUUUGACCGCUCAUCUUAUUUGAUUUUUUUAUGAUUAGUAUUUUUAUUGUUAUUACAUAAUAAAACAUGAAUAAUACUUAAUGUGUGACUAAUUUUUUUUCACAAAAUUUUCAAAUAAGAUGGACAGUCAAACAUUGGACACGGAUACCGACGGUUGCAUUUGUU
rfam:Oryza meridionalis cultivar OR44 (W2112) chromosome 1, whole genome shotgun sequence.